rnacentral:rRNA from 1 species
AUACAGAGGGUGCAAGCGUUAAUCGGAAUUACUGGGCGUAAAGCGCGCGUAGGCGGUUUAUUAAGUCGGAUGUGAAAUCCCUGGGCUCAACCUGGGAACUGCAUUCGAAACUGAUUGACUAGAGUAUGGUAGAGGGUGGUGGAAUUCCUAGUGUAGCGGUGAAAUGCGUAGAUAUUAGGAGGAACAUCAGUGGCGAAGGCGACCACCUGGACCAAUACUGACGCUGAGGUGCGAAAGCGUGGGGAGCAAACAGGAUUAGAAACCCUAGUAGUCC